rnacentral:lncRNA from 1 species
UAUCGUAACUUUUGGGUUCCCUAGGGUGAUAGUGGACCUCCGGGUGCCCGGGGAGAGGAUGGACCAGAGGGGCUGAAGGGGCAGUCUGGACUGAACGGCGAGUCAGGAGCGCUGGGAAUUGCCGGAGAAAAGGUAGAGCGAUAAUCUAUCAUGCUACGGAAAAAACGAGCUGAUGAGGGCAUAAUGAAGAAGGCUGGUGGAAAACCAUUUUGUGAAACCCCUUUAAAGCCAGGCAUAUGCUGAAAUAUUGUUACUUUUAUGCUCCACAUUUACAUAUAACAUCCUGAAAUAGCUCCUUGUUAAAGCUAAACGGCUGCUCAACCCCAGUAAACGCUGAAGCAUUUAAUCUUUCUGUCAUCACUGUGUGCAAUACAUCAGAGAUAGCUCCGUAAUAUCAUGUGCGCAGUCAGCGGUGUGGCAUAAAGACUUAAUUAAAUGGUUAUCCUGCACUUUUACUUAUUUCUUUCAUAUAGUCCUCACUUUAUCGCCUUGCACUGCUCCGUUUCUAGGGUAACCUCGGUGUGCCAGGGCUGCCUGGAUAUCCAGGAAAACAAGGACAAAAGGGAUCACUUGGAUUUGCUGGUGUGUUUGGAGCCUCGGGAGAGAAAGGACGAAGGGGUCCAGCCGGUCAGCAGGGGCAAGGAGGCCAAAGGGGUCCAAAUGGAGCUCGUGGGGGGAGAGGUGCGACAGGGUCUACUGGAACACCAGGAGAAAAGGUGA